rnacentral:tRNA from 1 species
GGGUUAGUAUCUUAAUUGGUAGAGGAUUUUCUUGUCACGAAAGUAGGUGCCGGUUCGAAUCUGGUCUAACUCG